rnacentral:rRNA from 1 species
GACGAACGCUGGCGGCGUGCUUAACACAUGCAAGUCGAACGGAAAGGCCCUGCUUGCAGGGUGCUCGAGUGGCGAACGGGUGAGUAACACGUGGGUGAUCUGCCCCUUACUUUGGGAUAAGCCUGGGAAACUGGGUCUAAUACUGGAUAGGACCAUGCUGUAGGUGGUGUGGUGGAAAGAUUAGUUUCGGUAAGGGAUGAGCUCGCGGCCUAUCAGCUUGUUGGUGGGGUAAUGGCCUACCAAGGCGUCGACGGGUAGCCGGCCUGAGAGGGUGGACGGCCACAUUGGGACUGAGAUACGGCGCAGACUCCUACGGGAGGCAGCAGUGGGGAAUAUGGCACAAUGGGCGCAAGCCUGAUGCAGCGACGCCGCGUGGGGGAUGACGGCCUUCGGGUUGUAAACUCCUUUCAGCCAUGACGAAGCCCUUGUGGUGACGGUAGUGGUAGAAGAAGCACCGGCUAACUACGUG